UGUGGCUGAAGGCAAACAGUAAUUGCCCGGUUUAAUGGAAGAUGGUUAAGCCUGUGUUGGACAUCUGCUGUCUUUGCCGCCCUAGUCUGCAUUUCCCAGUAUUCUGCCAGCAGAAACCGCUGAAGCUCAUGAUGUGAGGCAAAUCCUCUCCGACUGCAAUUCCUCCCUAACUACAUUCCCCUGGACGCUUUCCUUUACCUGGCACACCACUGAAAAAAAGAAGAGGAACCCAUGUUUCAAACCAAC
rnacentral:lncRNA from 1 species